UGAGGAAUAUUGGUCAAUGGGCGCGAGCCUGAACCAGCCAUCCCGCGUGCAGGAAGACGGCGCUAUGCGUUGUAAACUGCUUUUCCAGGGGGAGAAACUUGCGCACGUGUUGCGCAAUUGACGGUACCCUGGGAAUAAGCAUCGGCUAACUCCGUGCCAGCAGCCGCGGUAAUACGGAGGAUGCGAGCGUUAUCCGGAUUCAUUGGGUUUAAAGGGUGCGUAGGCGGACUAUUAAGUCAGUGGUGAAAUCCUGCAGCUUAACUGCAGAACUGCCAUUGAUACUGAUAGCCUUGAGUUUGGUUAAGGUAGGCGGAAUGUGUAAUGUAGCGGUGAAAUGCUAGAUAUUACACAGAACACCAAUUGCGUAGGCAGCUUACUGAGCCGACACUGACGCUGAGGCACGAAAGCGUGGGGAUCGAACAG
rnacentral:rRNA from 1 species